rnacentral:lncRNA from 10 species
CCAUGUUACUGGUGACCCUUGGGAAUGGAAAACCUCUUAGUUCUGAAACAGCUGUGGUCCUUGAAGUCAUAGUGUAAAAAUACCCCAAGUGACUCUAUGGAUAGGCUUUCCUCAGAAAAUCUGAAGUCUCACGACAACUCCAAACAAGAGAACAAAUUGUCAGUGGACACCAUGCAGAGAACUGUCAUUUAUUACAUGCCUGCAGUUGCAAACUUGAAAAUAACUGGGAUGCCACGUGUGGACGCUUAUCUCUAAAGUUUGGGAUUAUUUUAAUUAACUCCUAAAAAGCUUCUGCACAGCAAAGGAAAUAAUCAGCAGAGUUAACAGACAACCCACAGAGUGGGAGAAAAUUUUCACUAACUAUGCAUCUGACAAAGGACUAAUAUCCAGAAUCUACAAGGAACUCAAACGAAUCAGCAAGAAAAAAACAAACAGUCUAUCAAAAAGUGGGCUAAGGACAUGAAUAGACAAUUCUCAAAAGAAGAUUUAGGAAUGGCCAACAAACAUAUUGAAAAAUGCUCAACAUCACUAAUUAUCAGGGAAAUACAAAUCGAAACCACAGUGCAAACCACCUUACCCCUGAAAGAAUGGUCAUAAUUUAAAAAAUAAAAAAUAAUAGAUGUUGGUGUGGAUGUAGUGAAAAGGGAACACUUUUACACUGCUGGUGGGAAUGUAAACUAGUACAACCAUUGUGGAAAACAGUAUGGAGAUUCCUUAAAGAACUAAAAGUAGAUAUACCACUACUGGGUAUCUACCCAGAGGAAAAGAAGUCAUUAUAUGAGAAAAGACACUGGCACACACAUGUUUAUGGCAGCACAAUUAGCAGUUGCAAAAAUAUGGAACCAGCCCAAAUGCCCAUCAAUCAAUGAGUGGAUAAAGAAAAUGUGGUAUAUAUAUAUCAUGGAAUACUACUCAGCCAUAAAAAGGAAGGAAAUAAUGGCAUUCGCAGCAACCUGGAUAGAGUCGAAGCCUAUUAUUCUAAAUGAAGUAACUCAGGAAUGGAAAACCAAACAUCAUAUCAUAUGUUCUCACUCAUAAGUGGGAGCUAAGCUAUGAGGACAUAAAGGCAUAAAAAGUGAUCCAGUGAACUUUGGGGACUUGGGGGAAAGGUUGAUAGCGAGGUGAGGGAUAAAAGACUACACAUUGGGUACAGUGUACACUGCUCAGG